rnacentral:rRNA from 1 species
UACGAAGGGGGCUAGCGUUGCUCGGAUUUACUGGGCGUAAAGCGCACGUAGGCGGAUUGGUCAGUUAGGGGUGAAAUCCCAGAGCUCAACUCUGGAACUGCCCUUAAUACUGCCAGUCUAGAGUCCGGAAGAGGUAAGUGGAACUCCUAGUGUAGAGGUGGAAUUCGUAGAUAUUAGGAAGAACACCAGUGGCGAAGGCGGCUUACUGGUCCGGUACUGACGCUGAGGAGCGAAAGCGUGGGGAGCGAACAGG